rfam:Microgenomates (Woesebacteria) bacterium GW2011_GWB1_38_8 TT08_C0003, whole genome shotgun sequence.
GCCCGGAUGGUGGAAUUGGUAGACACGCAGCUCUCAAAAAGCUGUGAGCUUAAACGCUCAUGUCGGUUCGAGUCCGACUUCGGGCA